rnacentral:rRNA from 1 species
UUACCCGCUGAACUUAAGCAUAUCAAUAAGCGGAGGAAAAGAAACCAACAGGGAUUGCCUCAGUAACGGCGAGUGAAGCGGCAACAGCUCAAAUUUGAAAUCUGGCCCCUUCGGGGUCCGAGUUGUAAUUUGUAGAGGAUGCUUCGGCGAGGGCCCCGGUCUAAGUUCCUUGGAACAGGACGUCACAGAGGGUGAGAAUCCCGUACGUGGCCGGCGGUGCUCGCCAUGUGAAGCUCCUUCGACGAGUCGAGUUGUUUGGGAAUGCAGCUCUAAAUGGGAGGUAAAUUUCUUCUAAAGCUAAAUAUUGGCCAGAGACCGAUAGCGCACAAGUAGAGUGAUCGAAAGAUGAAAAGCACUUUGGAAAGAGAGUUAAAAAGUACGUGAAAUUGUUGAAAGGGAAGCGCUUGCAACCAGACCUGACCGUAGUUGCUCAUCCGGGCUCUUGCCCGGUGCACUCCUCUGCGGUCAGGCCAGCAUCAGUUCUGGCGGUCGGAUAAAGGCGGUGGGAAUGUAGCUCCCCUCGGGGAGUGUUAUAGCCCGCCGUGUCAUGCGGCCAGCCGGGACUGAGGUCCGCGCUUCGGCUAGGAUGCUGGCGUAAUGGUUGUAAGCGGCCCGUCUUGAAACACGGACCAAGGAGUCUAACAUCUGUGCGAGUGUUUGGGUGUCAAGCCCGGACGCGUAAUGAAAGUGAACGGAGGCGGGAACCUUCGGGUGCACCGUCGACCGAUCCUGAUGUCUUCGGAUGGAUUUGAGUAAGAGCAUAGCUGUUGGGACCCGAAAGAUGGUGAACUAUGCCUGAAUAGGGUGAAGCCAGAGGAAACUCUGGUGGAGGCUCGCAGCGGUUCUGACGUGCAAAUCGAUCGUCAAAUUUGGGCAUAGGGGCGAAAGACUAAUCGAACUAUCUAGUAGCUGGUUCCUGCCGAAGUUUCCCUCAGGA